UACGAAGGGGGCGAGCGUUGUUCGGAUUUACUGGGCGUAAAGGGCGCGCAGGCGGCUCAUUUUGUCAGGCGUGAAAGCCCCGGGCUUAACCUGGGAACUGCGUUUGAUACGGAUGGGCUAGAGUUCGGGAGAGGAGAGUGGAAUUCCCGGUGUAGCGGUGAAAUGCGCAGAUAUCGGGAAGAACACCCGUGGCGAAGGCGGCUCUCUGGAACGCAACUGACGCUGAGACGCGAAAGCGUGGGGAGCAAACAGG
rnacentral:rRNA from 1 species